ensembl:lncRNA novel transcript
CGUACCUGCACAGGUGGUCGCUGAUGUGCUGCAGGACCACAGGGAGCAGAAGGAUUUGGAAGGAGACCCGAUUCCGUAAGGGGAGCAGGUGGCCCUGGUCGCUGGAAGGAAAGGUGACCACAGACCCAGCGCCUCAGGAACAUCCCCCGCACUCACGGCUAAGCCUGUCCCCAGGGAAAUCCUGAGAAAUGGAAUUUCUCCUGGAUCAUGGUGGCAGAGGGGUGGCUGGAGCUCGUGUCCUGUGUUCAGGACCUGCUCCUGAGGCUAAACAGGUUGGGAGAACUUUCACCUGGCAGAGCCUCAAGCGCACCUGGCACCCAACAUGGAGCAAACACAAAGCAUUUAGAAUCUCAGUGAACACAGGCCUCUGAUGCAGGAAACCACCAGGUUCCCCAGUUCCACCAAGGAAGACGCAUCGGUUCCCUGUGAAAACAUCUGUGACUUUAUGUACGAAUAAAACUUAUGUAACUUUA